rnacentral:rRNA from 1 species
GACGAACGCUGGCGGCGUGCUUAACACAUGCAAGUCGAACGGAAAGGCCCUGCUUUUGUGGGGUGCUCGAGUGGCGAACGGGUGAGUAACACGUGAGUAACCUGCCCUUGACUUUGGGAUAACUUCAGGAAACUGGGGCUAAUACCGGAUAGGAGCUCCUGCUGCAUGGUGGGGGUUGGAAAGUUUCGGCGGUUGGGGAUGGACUCGCGGCUUAUCAGCUUGUUGGUGGGGUAGUGGCUUACCAAGGCUUUGACGGGUAGCCGGCCUGAGAGGGUGACCGGCCACAUUGGGACUGAGAUACGGCCCAGAGUCCUACGGGAGGCAGCAGUGGGGAAUAUUGCACAAUGGGCGGAAGCCUGAUGCAGCAACGCCGCGUGCGGGAUGACGGCUUUCGGGGUGUAAACCGCUUUCGCCUGUGACGAAGCGUGAGUGACGGUAAUGGGUAAAGAAGCACCGGCUAACUACGUG